AAACCCCUAUCCAUUUGACAUCUAAAUGUCAUAGCGACUUUUGGGAUAGUUUGCUUUCGGCAAAGGGGGACAAAGUCAUGGGGUGAGGGGGAAGGAGGGCCCAGUACAGCCUCCAGGACCCUCGCCUUCUCCUCACCAGCUCCCCCUCCCCCCCAGGUCCUGUAAGAAGUUGGGCCCAGCUGGAAGGGAUUGACCGGAGAAGGUUCCAGAUUGUCGGCGGCACGCAGAGCAGGCAGAACCGCUCAGAGGAAGCCCCGGCGGCCAGCACAGCCAGGCUCACGGCGGCCACAGAAGCCCGAUACACAUAAAGAAGAGCAUGGGGGCUGGUAGGAGCAAGGAGCAGCAAGGUGCACCAGACACAAGUCAGUUGGUGGGUCCUCGGGGCUCCGUAAGACCCUUUCAGUGCCACUACUGGAAAGUACAGGGUAGGCAAGGAACCACAGGCUAGUCCAGAUCGACAGUCCACGAAGAUAGCAUCAAAGAGGGCUUACAAAACAGCAAGAUUUUACAAAGACCUUACUAGCAACAUAGAAAAGGGGAGGCACAUUCCAGAAAGCUAAAGAGCAGGUAGAUGAUGUCCUU